CCUACGGGAGUCAGCAGUGAGGAAUAUUGGUCAAUGGACGAGAGUCUGAACCAGCCAAGUAGCGUGAAGGAUGACUGCCCUAUGGGUUGUAACCUUCUUUUAUAUGGGAAUCAAACGUUCCACGUGUGGGAUUUUGUAUGUACCAUAUGAAUAAGGAUCGGCUAACUCCGUGCCAGCAGCCGCGGUAAUACGGAGGAUCCGAGCUUUAUCCGGAUUUCUUGGGUUUAAAGGGAGCGUAGGUGGAUUGUUAAGUCAGUUGUGAAAGUUUGCGGCUCAACCGUAAAAUUGCAGUUGAAACUGGCAGUCAUGAGUACAGUAGAGGUGGGCGGAAUUCGUGGUGUAGCGGUGAAAUGCUUAGAUAGCACGAAGAACUCCGAUUGCGAAGGCAGUUCACUGGACUGCAACUGACACUGAGGCUCGAAAGUGUGGGUAUCAAACAGGAUUAGAUACCCGGGUAGUC
rnacentral:rRNA from 1 species